AGCGAACGCUGGCGGCAGGCCUAACACAUGCAAGUCGAACGAACCUUUCGGGGUUAGUGGCGGACGGGUGAGUAACACGUGGGAACGUGCCUUUAGGUUCGGAAUAACUCAGGGAAACUUGUGCUAAUACCGAAUGUGCCCUUCGGGGGAAAGAUUUAUCGCCUUUAGAGCGGCCCGCGUCUGAUUAGCUAGUUGGGUGAGGUAAUGGCUCACCAAGGCGACGAUCAGUAGCUGGUCUGAGAGGAUGGUCAGCCACAUUGGGACUGAGACACGGCCCAAACGCCUACGGGAGGCAGCAGUGGGGAAUCUUGCGCAAUGGGCGAAAGCCUGACGCAGCCAUGCCGCGUGAAUGAUGAAGGUCUUAGGAUUGUAAAAUUCUUUCACCGGGGACGAUAAUGACGGUACCCGGAGAAGAAGCCCCGGCUAACUUCGUG
rnacentral:rRNA from 1 species